rnacentral:rRNA from 1 species
CCUACGGGAGGCAGCAGUGAGGAAUAUUGGACAAUAGGCGCAAGCCUGAUCCAGCCAUGCCGCGUGCAGGAAGAAGCAUCUAUGGUGUGUAAACUGCUUUUGUACAGGAAGAAACACUCCCUCGUGAGGGAGCUUGACGGUACUGUAAGAAUAAGGACCGGCUAACUCCGUGCCAGCAGCCGCGGUAAUACGGAGGGUCCGAGCGUUAUCCGGAAUCAUUGGGUUUAAAGGGUCCGUAGGCGGUUUAAUAAGUCAGUGGUGAAAUCUGGUCGCUCAACGAUCAAACGGCCAUUGAUACUGUUAGACUUGAAUUAUAAGGAAGUAACUAGAAUAUGUAGUGUAGCGGUGAAAUGCUUAGAUAUUACAUGGAAUACCAAUUGCGAAGGCAGGUUACUACUUAUGGAUUGACGCUGAUGGACGAAAGCGUGGGGAGCGAACAGGAUUAGAUACCCUGGUAGUCCACGCCGUAAACGAUGGAUACUAGCUGUUCGGAGCAAUCUGAGUGNGUAGACGAAGAGAGUAAGUAAGUACCACCGUCGGGAGGUACGGUUAACGGUCGAAGAAAGUUAGUAAACGUUAACUUAAAUAAGUUAAGUUAGUUACGGCGUUGGAGACGUUAGCCGACGGACGACCGACGAGGGGAGGUUAGGAGG